rnacentral:lncRNA from 1 species
GACCCGGAUGUAGGACCCGGAUGUGGCGGUUGGGCCGGCGUCCUCCGUUUCCAUGGAGACGGGCAAGAUGGCGGCCGGUCCGGCCUAGCCCGGCCUCCCCUGGCUGCAGCCCGACCCCGCGGCCUCCCCGACAGGGAUCCGACAUGGCCGAGGUGCGGAUCCGCCCGCCCGGCCUGGAGCCCGUCCCGAUACCCGCUCGGAGAAGCGCCAACACCGGCGGCGGCGGCGGCGACAACGGCCGAGGCGGCGGCGCUACCGGGGCCUGGGCCGCCGGGGCCGAGGUCAGUGUCGAUGGAGAGCGGGCGCCAUUUUGUGGCUCACUGCUUCUGCCCCUGGGGCUGAGGAAAAACAACUCUCUGAUGAAAAAUGGGUGUGUGUGUGUGUGUGUGUGAGAGAAAGAGAAAGAAUAAACGUCUGUGAGGAAAAUGGUGUGUGUCUCUGUGUGUGUCUGUGUGUGUUUGUGUAUGUGUCCCUCACAGCCUCACCUUCUACGCACUGGAGUGGGUGAGGAAAAGUAGGGCUGUGAGGAAAAAUUUAGUGUGUGUGUGUGUGUGUGUGUGUGUGUGUGUGUGCGCGCGCGCGAAAACAGGUCUGUGAGGAAAAAUGGUGUGUGUGUGUCUGUGUGUGUCCCUCCCGGGCUCACCUUCUGUACACUUUUGUGGGUGAGGAAAAGCAAGUCUGUGAGGAAAAAUGUAGUGUGUGUGUGUGUGUGUGUGUGUGUGUGUGUGAAAACAGGUCUGUGAGGAAAAAUGGUGUGUGUCUGUGUGUGUAAGAGAGAGAAAACAGGUCUGUGAGGAAAAAUGGUGUGUGUGUGUCUGUGUCUGUGUGUGUCCCUCCCGGGCUCACCCUCUACGCACUUUUGUGGGUGAGGAAAAGCAAGUCUGUGAUGAAAAAUGUAGUGUGUGUGUGUGUGUGUGUGUGUGUAAAACCAGGUCUUUGAGGAAGUCUAUGUGUGUGAGAGAGUGUGUGUGGAAAACAGGUCUGUGAGGAAAAUGGCAUGUGUGUAUAUGUCCCCCUCCUGAGCUCACCUGUGUACGUGUGUGUAAGGAAAACCAGGUCUGUGGGGAAAAAUGGUUUGGGGUGGAAAAACAGGACUGUGAGGAAAAAUGGUGUGUGUGUGUGGGGGGGAAACAGGUUUUUGAGGAAAAAUGGUGUGUAUGUGCCAAAACAGGUCUGUGAGGAAAAUGGUGUGUGUGUGUAUUUCCCCCUCCUGAGUUCACCUUCUAUGUAUGUAUGUGUGUGUAAAGAAAAACAGGUCUGUGAAGAAAAAUGGGGUGGGGGUGUGUGUGUGGAAAAGCAGGUCUGUGAGGAAAAAUGGUGUGUGUGUGGGUGUGUCAAAACAGGUCUGUGAGGAAAAUGCUGUGUGUGUGUCUCUGUGUGUGUGUGUGUGUGGAAAAGCAGGUCUGUGAGCAAAAAUGGUGUGUGUGGAGGUGUGUAAAAACAGGUCUGUGAGGAAAAUGCUGUGUGUGUGUCUGUGUGUGUGUGUGUGGAAAAGCAGGUCUGUGAGGAAAAAUGGUGUGUGUGUGGGUGUGU